CGGGAGGCAGCAGUGGGGAAUCUUGCACAAUGGGGGAAACCUUGAUGCAGCGACGCCGCGUGAGCGAUGAAGCCCUUCGGGGUGUAAAGCUCUUUCGGCAGGAACGAUAAUGACGGUACCUGCAGAAGAAGCUGCGGCUAACUACGUGCCAGCAGCCGCGGUAAGACGUAGGGAGCAAGCGUUGUCCGGAUUUACUGGGCGUAAAGGGCGCGUAGGCGGUCUGUUAAGUGAGAAGUGAAAUAUCCAGGGCUCAACCCGGAAACGGCUUUUCAUACUGGCAGACUAGAGGGAUGCAGAGGUAAGUAGAAUUCCUGGUGUAGCGGUGACAUGCAUUGAUAUCAGGAGGAAUACCCAUGGCGAAGGCAGCUUACUGGGCAUCAUCUGACGCUGAGGCCCGAAAGCGUGGGUAGCAAACAGGAUUAGAUACCCUGGUAGUCCACGCCCUAAACGAUGGAUACUAGGCGUAAGAGGUAUCGACCCCUCUUGUGCCGCAGCUAACGCAUUAAGUAUCCCGCCUGGGGAGUACGGCCGCAAGGUUG
rnacentral:rRNA from 1 species